rnacentral:rRNA from 1 species
AUGCCGCGUGUGUGANGAAGGCCUUCGGGUUGUAAAGCACUUUCAGUCAGGAGGAAAGGUUAGUAGUUAAUACCUGCUAGCUGUGACGUUACUGACAGAAGAAGCACCGGCUAACUCCGUGCCAGCAGCCGCGGUAAUACGGAGGGUGCGAGCGUUAAUCGGAAUUACUGGGCGUAAAGCGUACGCAGGCGGUUUGUUAAGCGAGAUGUGAAAGCCCCGGGCUCAACCUGGGAACUGCAUUUCGAACUGGCAAACUAGAGUGUGAUAGAGGGUGGUAGAAUUUCAGGUGUAGCGGUGAAAUGCGUAGAGAUCUGAAGGAAUACCGAUGGCGAAGGCAGCCACCUGGGUCAACACUGACGCUCAUGUACGAAAGCGUGGGGAGCAAACGGGAUUAGAUACCCCGGUAGUCCACGCCGUAAACGAUGUCUACUAGAAGCUCGGGUCCUCGGACUUGUUUUUCAAAGCUAACGCAUUAAGUAGACCGCCUGGGGAGUACGGCCGCAAGGUUAAAACUCAAAUGAAUUGACGGGGGCCCGCACAAGCGGUGGAGCAUGUGGUUUAAUUCGAUGCAACGCGAAGAACCUUACCUACACUUGACAUACAGAGAACUUACCAGAGAUGGUUUGGUGCCUUCGGGAACUCUGAUACAGGUGCUGCAUGGCUGUCGUCAGCUCGUGUUGUGAGAUGUUGGGUUAAGUCCCGCAACGAGCGCAA